rnacentral:rRNA from 1 species
CCUACGGGAGGCCGCAGUGGGGAAUCUUUGACAAUGGGGGGAACCCUGAUCCAGCGACGCCGCGUGAGUGAAGAAGUCUUUCGGUAUGUAAAGCUCUAUCAGCAGGGAAGAAAGAAAUGACGGUACCUGACUAAGAAGCCCCGGCUAACUACGUGACAGCAGCCGCGGUAAUACGGCGGGGGCAAGCGUUAUCCGGAUUUACUGGGUGUAAAGGGAGCGUAGACGGCGAUGCAAGUCUGAAGUGAAAGGCGGGGGCCCAACCCCCGGACUGCUUUGGAAACUGUAUGGCUGGAGUGCAGGAGAGGUAAGUGGAAUUCCUAGUGUAGCGGUGAAAUGCGGAGAUAUUAGGAGGAACACCAGUGGCGAAGGCGGCUUACUGGACUGUAACCGACGUUGAGGCUCGAAAGCGUGGGGAGCAAACAGGAUUAGAUACCCUAGUAGUC